rnacentral:pre_miRNA from 1 species
CAAAUACUCCCUCCGUCCGGAAAUACUUGUCGAAGAAAUGCAUAAAAAUGGAUGUAUCUAGAAUUAAAAUAUGUCGAGAUACAUCCAUUCCUCCAACAAGUAUUUUCGGACGGAGGGAGUACACA